UUCUUCCUAACUUGGAUCUCUUUUUCACCGGGCAUAUGUAAUUCCAUUUUUGGUCCUUGAAAGCCCUGUAUCUGAUUUUCCUCCGAGACAAGCCGCACGGGAGAAAAUCUUGUAUGGUUUAAUUACGAAAUUGUCACUGCGUAAAACCCUGGCGAAGUGCGGCACUAAAAUCUCGUCUCUCGUCCUCUUUCAUCAAAAAUCUUCCCAUUCAUUCCCAUAGCCGCCUCGCCCUCAUUCCUCUGAAUCUCUUGCAACCAUCAAUUCUCUUUUUAUUAGUAUUUGCUUUCGCAAGCAGCCCCUCAAUGGCGAAGAACAAAAGAAAACGAAACCAAAAUCCACAACCUUUUGAAGCAGAUGACGAUUCCGUUGCCUCCACAAAGAAACGCUUCAGAGCGGCCAAACACCACCAAAAACAAGACAAAAUGAUUUCUUAUGGGAUGAGUUUGAAAAUCGUGAAAGAAGUGCUUCUUCAGCAGAAGGAAAUAGAUGAGGAAGACUCAGCAGGGAAUUUUAAUGGCGCAUUUGGUUCUGUUGAAGAAGAGCGGAAUAAGCAUGAAGAAGAAGAGGAUAUUGAUGAUUUUGGUGGAUUUUCUGAGACGCAAAGUCAGUUUGGCAACUAUGAAGACAUUGAUGAGGAAGAUGAGAAAUUGCUGGAGGCAUUCUUGUCGAGGAAUGCUGGUCCAGAAAGGACGCUUGCGGACCUUAUAAUUCAGAAGAUCAAGGAGAGUGAUGCAAAUGCUGCUUCAGAAACACGACCUUUGCCUAAGUUGGAUGACUCCCUCAUAGAUUUGUAUAAGGGAGUUGGAAAGUUUCUGAACAAAUACACAGCAGGGAAAAUGCCCAAGGCCUUUAAACACAUUCCGUCAAUGCUACUCUGGGAGGAUGUUCUGUACUUGACUGAACUUGAGUAUUGGUCUCCGAAUGCGAUGUUUCAAGCCACAAAAAUAUUUGCUUCCAAUUUGGGUGCUAAGAAGGCAGAGCGUUUUUAUAGGCUAGUCUUGCUUCCUCGUGUUAGAGAUGAUAUUCGGAAGAAUAAACGUCUUCAUUUUGCACUUUAUCAGUCUUUGACAAAGGCUUUAUACAAAGCUGCUGCAUUCAACAAGGGAAUAUUGUUGCCUUUGUGUAAGUCAGGGACAUGCAAUCUCAGGGAGGCUGAUAUUAUUGGGAGUGUUCUUCAAAAAGUCUCCUUUCCUAGGCUUCACUCAAGUGUUGCAUUAAUGAUGCUUGCGGAGAUGGAAUUCUGUGGCACAACAAGUUAUUUUAUAAAGCUUCUUUUGGAGAAGAAGUAUGCUCUGCCAUAUUGUGUUGUUGAUGCAGUUGUUUCUCAUUUUAUGAGAUUUCUUGAGGAUACAAGGAUAAUGCCUGUCAUAUGGCAUCAGUCGCUUCUGGCAUUUGUGCAAAGGUACAAAAAUUGUGCAAGGAAGAUAAAGAUAAUCUUAGAAUUCUAGCUGAGACACAAAAGCAUAAAUUCGUUACUCCCGAAAUUAUUAGGGAGCUAGAUAACAGCCGCAAUCGUGGUGAGGAGGAUGACCUUAUUUUGAUGGAUAUCCUUUUCUCUUCUAGUGUUCUUUUCAUUUGAUGUUUUUGAAUGUAAGCAUUUUAUUACAUUACAGAUUUUUGUCCUUUUAUUGAUGUAAUAUUGCUUGUGUAUAUAUUUGUUCUUAGGCUUUAGAAUUUAUAAUAUACUGAAUGUGUUUCAGGAAGUUGAUAUAUCAGUGGGGAAAGCUAUGAAAAAUGUCUUGUAAUGUGUUAGGAAGCAAGAUAUCAUAAUGUAGGUUGUAAGUUGUAACUAGCUAGUUGUUUUAAUGCUUCAUAAAAAGAGAGAUCUGAGGAUUGACAUCCAUCAGUUCAAUAUUAAAUUUACAAGAUAUGUAUGCUUGAUCACACAUUUUAGAAAAAGAGAGAAUGCCUGAGAAUUGGAUGCUCUUAAUUAUGGUUUCUGCAUUUUUUAUAUCUCAUAUAAAAAUGGCUAUAUCUAUGUUUCCAACCAUACCUGUAACGUGCAUGCAUUUAAAUAGUACAGAUACAUUUCAAUUUUGGUAUCUGUUAUAUAUAAAGGCAUCUUCAAUAUUGAGUAUGUAUAUUUUCUCUGUUUUGGUCUGUGUAAAGAGUAAAUAUUUGUCUUUCCUUGACUUGAUGUUACCAUCUCCUAUUUCUGUGAUCAAUAAAGCAAUUGAGGAAGACAGGUUCGAUAUUCCAGAUGUACCUAUGGAGGAGGAUUGAUUGUUUAUGGCUGCUGGUAAUCCAAUUGAUUGCUUGCAAGAGCAAACAAUAAAUGGAACUUUGCCGUUGGACAUAGUUAGGUUCUCAAUGCAGGUUUUUCAUUUUUGGGAGGGUUAUUGGAGGAAGCCUCUUUGAUCGGGCAGUGGGAAACCUGUUUAGCAUUUGAGAUGUGAAGGAUGCAGGGACUAAAGUAGAAGUUAUCAAGGAGUUUAUAUACCUUAUACGGUCCUGGAAGUAAAUUUACAGUUGGCUGACCUUGGUGUCAAUGGGUUGUUGGGGACAAUUGCAGGAUGAAUUUGUCUUACCCAUUUUUACGUUUUUGUGGAAUUGAAAUAUAUAAUUAAAAGUUUGAUUUGGAUGGAAAA